GAGGUGGUUGCAUUACAGAAACUGGAAUAUCCCCUCUACCAUUGCUUCCCCCAUAUUCUUCCAUUUCCUAGACCUUAAGGUUGAAAGUGAUUAGAGGAGAGGUAGAAGGAAUGGUGCUAAUCUUUUUGGUAAGUAUUUUCCAUUCAUUGUAGUGCUGAAGUGUGAUUAAAAUUUUAAAGCAGGUAGCCGAAGCCUGGCAUUAGUCUCUGUCUGUUGUUCGGUGAUAACAUUUUCCUGGAUUUCUCCCAGACUCAUUAAACGUCAUCAGUCACAGGCAAAUCUAACAAGGGCUUGUUGGAAGAGAACUCUGCUGGACUGAAAUAUUAAGCAGCGAUCGUUCGUGCCACAGACAUGAGCCACUAAUAUUUUUUUGUUAGCCAGUUACAAGGGUGCCUCACAACCUAGAGGCUGUCUGUCAGCAGCUGUCAGAGCUGGGCACUGCUUUCCCCUUUUAUACGGUGCUGCACAAAGAUAAAAGCUGGAUAGAGCCAAAAGUGACAACCUCUCCUGGUGUUUUCCUUCUGCUGUGCACUUCCACAGAGUCUGAAAAGAAGAGGAGGGAUUUCAGGAGCUGUCCCCUCGAUCAUCUUGUCCUCAGCUGAGGCAGGGAGAAAAAGGAGGUGAAGCUAAGGAAAAAUAAAUGAUAUUCAUAGUUAAAGCA
rnacentral:lncRNA from 1 species